GCGGGGGUUGCCGAGCCUGGUCAAGGCGCGGGAUUCAGGGUCCCGUCCCGUAGGGGUUCCGGGGUUCAAAUCCCCGCCCCCGCACCA
rnacentral:tRNA from 1 species